UGCGAAGCGCCAGAACUGCAAUGCAGCCGAUAUUGCAGUUGACGAGGAAAGGGUUAAUCGAAAUGUUCGGCGGGUGCCCUUCGGCCACAGGUGGGUUGGUCGUAAGCAGGCUGUUAAAACGCACAGGCAACUGUGCGGACAGAGCAG
rnacentral:ncRNA from 1 species